UACGAGGGGGGCAAGCGUUGUUCGGAAUUAUUGGGCGUAAAGGGUGCGUAGGCGGCGCGGUAUGUCUCUUGUGAAAUCUCCAGGCUCAACUUGGAGUCUGCAAGGGAAACUGCCGUGCUUGAGUACUGGAGAGGUGAGUGGAAUUCCCGGUGUAGCGGUGAAAUGCGUAGAUAUCUGGAGGAACACCGGUGGCGAAGGCGGCAUCCUGGACCGGUAUUGACGCUGAGGCGCGAAAGCUAGGGGAGCAAACGGG
rnacentral:rRNA from 1 species